rnacentral:rRNA from 1 species
AGUGAACGCUGGCGGUAGGCCUAACACAUGCAAGUCGAACGGCAGCACAGUAAGAGCUUGCUCUUACGGGUGGCGAGUGGCGGACGGGUGAGGAAUACAUCGGAAUCUACUUUUUCGUGGGGGAUGACGUAGGGAAACUUACGCUAAUACCGCAUACGACCUACGGGUGAAAGCAGGGGAUCUUCGGACCUUGCGCGAUUGAAUGAGCCGAUGUCGGAUUAGCUAGUUGGCGGGGUAAAGGCCCACCAAGGCGACGAUCCGUAGCUGGUCUGAGAGGAUGAUCAGCCACACUGGAACUGAGACACGGUCCAGACUCCUACGGGAGGCAGCAGUGGGGAAUAUUGGACAAUGGGCGCAAGCCUGAUCCAGCCAUACCGCGUGGGUGAAGAAGGCCUUCGGGUUGUAAAGCCCUUUUGUUGGGAAAGAAAAGCAGCAGGCUAAUACCCCGCUGUUCUGACGGUACCCAAAGAAUAAGCACCGGCUAACUUCGUG